rnacentral:rRNA from 1 species
GUCGAGCGAAUGAGAUUAAGAGCUUGCUCUUAUGAAGUUAGCGGCGGACGGGUGAGUAACACGUGGGUAACCUGCCCAUAAGACUGGGAUAACUCCGGGAAACCGGGGCUAAUACCGGAUAACAUUUUGAACCGCAUGGUUCGAAAUUGAAAGGCGGCUUCGGCUGUCACUUAUGGAUGGACCCGCGUCGCAUUAGCUAGUUGGUGAGGUAACGGCUCACCAAGGCAACGAUGCGUAGCCGACCUGAGAGGGUGAUCGGCCACACUGGGACUGAGACACGGCCCAGACUCCUACGGGAGGCAGCAGUAGGGAAUCUUCCGCAAUGGACGAAAGUCUGACGGAGCAACGCCGCGUGAGUGAUGAAGGCUUUCGGGUCGUAAAACUCUGUUGUUAGGGAAGAACAAGUGCUAGUUGAAUAAGCUGGCACCUUGACGGUACCUAACCAGAAAGCCACGGCUAACUACGUGCCAGCAGCCGCGGUAAUACGUAGGUGGCAAGCGUUAUCCGGAAUUAUUGGGCGUAAAGCGCGCGCAGGUGGUUUCUUAAGUCUGAUGUGAAAGCCCACGGCUCAACCGUGGAGGGUCAUUGGAAACUGGGAGACUUGAGUGCAGAAGAGGAAAGUGGAAUUCCAUGUGUAGCGGUGAAAUGCGUAGAGAUAUGGAGGAACACCAGUGGCGAAGGCGACUUUCUGGUCUGUAACUGACACUGAGGCGCGAAAGCGUGGGGAGCA